rnacentral:rRNA from 1 species
UUAAGCGACUAAGCGUACACGGUGGAUGCCUAGGCAGUCAGAGGCGAUGAAGGGCGUGCUAAUCUGCGAAAAGCGUCGGUAAGGUGAUAUGAACCGUUACAACCGACGAUACCCGAAUGGGGAAACCCAGUGCAAUUCGUUGCACUAUUGCAUGGUGAAUACAUAGCCAUGCAAGGCGAACCGGGGGAACUGAAACAUCUAAGUACCCCGAGGAAAAGAAAUCAACCGAGAUUCCCCCAGUAGCGGCGAGCGAACGGGGAGGAGCCCAGAACCUGAAUCAGCGUAUGUGUUAGUGGAAGCGUCUGGAAAGUCGCACGGUACAGGGUGAUAGUCCCGUACACAAAANUCGAUGAGUAGGGCGGGACACGUGACAUCCUGUCUGAAUAUGGGGGGACCAUCCUCCAAGGCUAAAUACUCCUGACUGACCGAUAGUGAACCAGUACCGUGAGGGAAAGGCGAAAAGAACCCCGGCGAGGGGAGUGAAAUAGAACCUGAAACCGUGUACGUACAAGCAGUGGGAGCACCUUCGUGGUGUGACUGCGUACCUUUUGUAUAAUGGGUCAGCGACUUAUAUUUUGUAGCAAGGUUAACCGAAUAGGGGAGCCGUAGGGAAACCGAGUCUUAACUGGGCGAAUAGUUGCAAGGUAUAGACCCGAAACCCGGUGAUCUAGCCAUGGGCAGGUUGAAGGUUGGGUAACACUAACUGGAGGACCGAACCGACUAAUGUUGAAAAAUUAGCGGAUGACUUGUGGCUGGGGGUGAAAGGCCAAUCAAACCGGGAGAUAGCUGGUUCUCCCCGAAAGCUAUUUAGGUAGCGCCUCGUGAACUCAUCUUCGGGGGUAGAGCACUGUUUCGGCUAGGGGGUCAUCCCGACUUACCAAACCGAUGCAAACUCCGAAUACCGAAGAAUGUUAUCACGGGAGACACACGGCGGGUGCUAACGUCCGUCGUGAAGAGGGAAACAACCCAGACCGCCAGCUAAGGUCCCAAAGUCAUGGUUAAGUGGGAAACGAUGUGGGAAGGCAUAGACAGCCAGGAUGUUGGCUUAGAAGCAGCCAUCAUUUAAAGAAAGCGUAAUAGCUCACUGGUCGAGUCGGCCUGCGCGGAAGAUGUAACGGGGCUAAACCAUGCACCGAAGCUGCGGCAGCGACGCUUAGGCGUUGUUGGGUAGGGGAGCGUUCUGUAAGCCGUUGAAGGUGACCUGUGAGGGUUGCUGGAGGUAUCAGAAGUGCGAAUGCUGACAUAAGUAACGAUAAUGCGGGUAAAAAACCCGCACGCCGGAAGACCAAGGGUUCCUGUCCAACGUUAAUCGGGGCAGGGUGAGUCGACCCCUAAGGCGAGGCUGAAAAGCGUAGUCGAUGGGAAACAGGUUAAUAUUCCUGUACUUGGUGUUACUGCGAAGGGGGGACGGAGAAGGCUAGGCUAGCCGGGCGACGGUUGUCCCGGUUUAAGCAUGUAGGCGGAGUGACUUGGUAAAUCCGGUUGCUUAUCAACGCUGAGGUGUGAUGACGAGCCACUACGGUGGUGAAGUAGUUGAUGCCAAGCUUCCAGGAAAAGCCUCUAAGCAUCAGGUAACAUUAAAUCGUACCCCAAACCGACACAGGUGGUCAGGUAGAGAAUACUCAGGCGCUUGAGAGAACUCGGGUGAAGGAACUAGGCAAAAUGGUGCCGUAACUUCGGGAGAAGGCACGCUGGCAUUAGGUAAAGAGACUUGCUCUCGGCGCCGAAGCCAGUCGCAGAUACCAGCUGGCUGCAACUGUUUAAUAAAAACACAGCACUGUGCAAACACGAAAGUGGACGUAUACGGUGUGACGCCUGCCCGGUGCUGGAAGGUUAAUUGAUGGGGUCAGCCGCAAGGCGAAGCUCUUGAUCGAAGCCCCAGUAAACGGCGGCCGUAACUAUAACGGUCCUAAGGUAGCGAAAUUCCUUGUCGGGUAAGUUCCGACCUGCACGAAUGGCGUAAUGAUGGCCAGGCUGUCUCCACCCGAGACUCAGUGAAAUUGAACUCGCUGUGAAGAUGCAGUGUACCCGCGGCAAGACGGAAAGACCCCGUGAACCUUUACUAUAGCUUGACACUGAACAUUGAGCCUUGAUGUGUAGGAUAGGUGGGAGGCAUUGAAGUGUGGACGCCAGUCUGCAUGGAGCCAACCUUGAAAUACCACCCUUUAAUGUUUGAUGUUCUAACUCGGCCCCAUAAUCUGGGGUGAGGACAGUGUCUGGUGGGUAGUUUGACUGGGGCGGUCUCCUCCCAAAGAGUAACGGAGGAGCACGAAGGUUAGCUAAUCACGGUCGGACAUCGUGAGGUUAGUGCAAAGGCAUAAGCUAGCUUGACUGCGAGAGUGACGGCUCGAGCAGGUACGAAAGUAGGUCUUAGUGAUCCGGUGGUUCUGAAUGGAAGGGCCAUCGCUCAACGGAUAAAAGGUACUCCGGGGAUAACAGGCUGAUACCGCCCAAGAGUUCAUAUCGACGGCGGUGUUUGGCACCUCGAUGUCGGCUCAUCACAUCCUGGGGCUGAAGUAGGUCCCAAGGGUAUGGCUGUUCGCCAUUUAAAGUGGUACGCGAGCUGGGUUUAGAACGUCGUGAGACAGUUCGGUCCCUAUCUGCCGUGGGCGUUGGAAGAUUGAGAGGGGCUGCUCCUAGUACGAGAGGACCGGAGUGGACGAAUCACUGGUGUUCGGGUUGUCAUGCCAAUGGCAUUGCCCGGUAGCUAAAUUCGGAAGAGAUAACCGCUGAAAGCAUCUAAGCGGGAAACUUGCCUCGAGAUGAGUCUUCCCUGGGGCUUUAAGCCCCCUGAAGGAACGUUAAAGACUAUGACGUUGAUAGGCUGGGUGUGUAAGUGCAGCGAUGCAUUGAGCUAACCAGUACUAAUGAUCCGUGAGGCUUAACCUU